GACGAACGCUGGCGGCGUGCCUAAUACAUGCAAGUCGAGCGCAGGAAACUGACGGAACUCUUCGGAGGGAAGGCAGUGGAAUGAGCGGCGGACGGGUGAGUAACACGUAAGGAACCUGCCUCAAGGAUUGGGAUAACUCCGAGAAAUCGGAGCUAAUACCGGAUAGUUCAUCGGACCGCAUGGUCCGUUGAUGAAAGGCGCUCCGGCGUCACCUUGAGAUGGCCUUGCGGUGCAUUAGCUGGUUGGUGGGGUAACGGCCCACCAAGGCGACGAUGCAUAGGCGACAUGGGAGGGUGAUCGGCCACACUGGGACUGAGACACGGCCCAGACUCCUACGGGAGGCAGCAGUAGGGAAUCUUCGACAAUGGACGAAAGUCUGAUGGAGCAACGCCGCGUGAGUGAUGAAGGUUUUCGGAUCGUAAAACUCUGUUGUAAGGGAAGAACACGUACGAGAGGGAAUGCUCGUACCUUGACGGUACCUUACGAGAAAGCCACGGCUAACUACGUGCCAGCCGCCGCCGUAA
rnacentral:rRNA from 1 species